GGAGCGGCCUUGGCUGACUGGUUACAUUGUUCACUUUGUAAGUGAAUGGUCCUGGGUUCGAUUCCCAUCUGCUCCC
rnacentral:tRNA from 1 species